rnacentral:rRNA from 1 species
AUUGAACGCUGGCGGCAUGCCUUACACAUGCAAGUCGAACGGCAGCACGGGAGCAAUCCUGGUGGCGAGUGGCGAACGGGUGAGUAAUAUAUCGGAACGUGCCCAGUCGUGGGGGAUAACGCAGCGAAAGCUGUGCUAAUACCGCAUACGAUCUACGGAUGAAAGCGGGGGAUCGCAAGACCUCGCGCGAUUGGAGCGGCCGAUAUCAGAUUAGCUAGUUGGUGGGGUAAAGGCCUACCAAGGCGAAGAUCUGUAGCUGGUCUGAGAGGACGACCCACCACACUGGAACUGAGACACGGUCCAGACUCCUACGGGAGGCAGCAGUGGGGAAUUUUGGACAAUGGGCGCAAGCCUGAUCCAGCAAUGCCGCGUGCAGGAUGAAGGCCUUCGGGUUGUAAACUGCUUUUGUACGGAACGAAACGGUGAGCUCUAAUACAGUUUGCUAAUGACGGUACCGUAAGAAUAAGCACCGGCUAACUACGUGCCAGCCGCCGCCGUAAUAC